rnacentral:rRNA from 1 species
UACAGAGGGGGCAAGCGUUAUUCGGAAUUAUUGGGCGUAAAGGGCGCGUAGGCGGCCAUUCAAGUGACGGGUGAAAGCCCUCGGCUUAACCGAGGAACUGCCUGUCAGACUGGAUGGCUUGAGACCGGGAGAGGUGAGUGGAAUUCCCAGUGUAGCGGUGAAAUGCGUAGAUAUUGGGAGGAACACCAGUGGCGAAGGCGGCUCACUGGACCGGAACUGACGCUGAGGCGCGAAAGCGGUGGGGAGCAAACAGG